rnacentral:rRNA from 1 species
AGUGAACGCUGGCGGUAGGCCUAACACAUGCAAGUCGAACGGCAGCACAGUAAGAGCUUGCUCUUACGGGUGGCGAGUGGCGGACGGGUGAGGAAUACAUCGGAAUCUACUUUUUCGUGGGGGAUAACGUAGGGAAACUUACGCUAAUACCGCAUACGACCUACGGGUGAAAGCAGGGGAUCUUCGGACCUUGCGCGAUUGAAUGAGCCGAUGUCGGAUUAACUAGUUGGCGGGGUAAAGGCCCACCAAGGCGACGAUCCGUAGCUGGUCUGAGAGGAUGAUCAGCCACACUGGAACUGAGACACAGUCCAGACUCCUACGGGAGGCAGCAGUGGGGAAUAUUGGACAAUGGGCGCAAGCCUGAUCCAGCCAUACCGCGUGGGUGAAGAAGGCCUUCGGGUUGUAAAGCCCUUUUGUUGGGAAAGAAAAGCAGCAGGUUAAUACCCCGCUGUUCUGACGGUACCCAAAGAAUAAGCACCGGCUAACUUCGUG